AUGGUGGGCCCGCUCCUGAAUCAAUCACGGAUAAAAUCUACGAGAAUACGAAAACAAUCAAUGAGUACCCAAUAGCUGAAGAUCUACCCGAUAUUCGAGGGACCUGAAGGGAGAUUUGAUGUUGAUAUUUUUGAUUCUGUGGAUGACUAUGUGAAACUAAUGAAGUAAGUCUCUGGUCACUGUAUUCAAGAGAAUGGAUCAGGCUCUGCCUCCUUCUGUGGUCUAUGUGAAAAUCAAACUUUUUCUCGUCUCUUCAGGUCAAUCUUCGAUUUUGAAUCUAUUCAAAACCUGCUUCUUCUCCAAAAUUUACAUUCUGCGAUGAUGCAUUGAAUGGAGUUGCUGGAGCUUAUGCGCACCACAUCUUUGUUGAGGAACUUGGUGGACAAGAAAGUUCGUUAUUGAAUUGCAC